rnacentral:lncRNA from 12 species
AUGGACAUUAUAAGAAUUGAGUCAAUUAAUUCUAAAAAAAACAAGACAAUUGCUUCAAAGUCCUCUGUUUGAUUUGUUAUUGCAUAUGAGAUAACCCAACAAUGAAGCUGACUUGUUCUAGAAGACAUUUUUGAAAGGUAGUCUUUCUGACCCCAUGAAGUCAUAAAGAGGGUAUGAUGAGCUGACAGGUCAAGAGAACUCUGCUAUGCUUCUUUCUUGAGCUCUCUCAUACUUUUUGGCUCCCAGGGACUGUGCUCUCCUCCUCUCCCCUCAUCACCCUGGAACUUGCAUUGCUAUCCAGGUUUUAAUCUGCUUCCACUGACGUCACCAAAACAUCCUUCAUAAUAGACAGAGUUAGAGCUCUUUAUGAUUCUUCUGCCCAGGGCAACAUUCCCUGAGGACCUCCCUAGUUCACUAAGGAAAUCUGCUGGAUCCUAAGACAGCCUGGCCACUUAAAUCCCAGCUUGGAGAAUAUGUGUGGAGCCUAACCCACGAUGAUAAUUUUGUGAAAUAAAUAUCCUGUUGCUGUUAGAAUAAUGAAUGCUAAUGGUGUAAUGAACUUGAAGACUGUUAGCUACUCCCCAUGGAGGGGAGAGGCUAAUGACUGGGAAGUGAUACAUGUGGCCCAAAUCACUUGGCUCCAUUUUCAUGGAAGCUGUGUGGCACAGCAGUUACAUACACUCACUCUGGAGACAGUUCCUUCUCAUCUUGGUUCCUCUUAGUGCCAAUCCAUAAAGGCAGAGCACAGCAUCAUUGCGUGGAUGUUGGUACUUAUGGAUUCUUCAAUUUGGAGAAUGAGGUGAAAAAAAAACCCAACAAAUAAAACCUGUUCUCUGAAGAAUGUUACA